UACGUAGGGUCCGAGCGUUGUCCGGAAUUAUUGGGCGUAAAGAGCUCGUAGGCGGUUUGUCGCGUCUGCUGUGAAAUCCCGAGGCUCAACCUCGGGUCUGCAGUGGGUACGGGCAGACUGGAGUGCGGUAGGGGAGAAUGGAAUUCCUGGUGUAGCGGUGGAAUGCGCAGAUAUCAGGAGGAACACCGGUGGCGAAGGCGGGUCUCUGGGCAGUAACUGACGCUGAGGAGCGAAAGCGUGGGGAGCGAACAGG
rnacentral:rRNA from 1 species